rnacentral:rRNA from 1 species
ACCUGAUGCAGCGACGCAGCGUGCGGGAUGACGGCCUUCGGGUUGUAAACCGCUUUCAGCAGGGAAGAAGCGAAAGUGACGGUACCUGCAGAAGAAGUACCGGCUAACUACGUGCCAGCAGCCGCGGUAAUACGUAGGGUACGAGCGUUGUCCGGAAUUAUUGGGCGUAAAGAGCUCGUAGGUGGUUGGUCACGUCUGCUGUGGAAACGCAACGCUUAACGUUGCGCGUGCAGUGGGUACGGGCUGACUAGAGUGCAGUAGGGGAGUCUGGAAUUCCUGGUGUAGCGGUGAAAUGCGCAGAUAUCAGGAGGAACACCGGUGGCGAAGGCGGGACUCUGGGCUGUAACUGACGCUGAGGAGCGAAAGCAUGGGGAGCGAACAGGAUUAGAUACCCUGGUAGUCCAUGCCGUAAACGUUGGGCACUAGGUGUGGGGGACAUUCCACGUUCUCCGCGCCGUAGCUAACGCAUUAAGUGCCCCGCCUGGGGAGUACGGUCGCAAGGCUAAAACUCAAAGGAAUUGACGGGGGCCCGCACAAGCGGCGGAGCAUGCGGAUUAAUUCGAUGCAACGGGAAGAACCUUACCAAGGCUUGACAUACACUGGACCGUUCUGGAAACAGUUCUUCUCUUUGGAGCUGGUGUACAGGUGGUGCAUG